GAACCUUACCUGGGCUCGAACGGGCUUUAAGAACGACUUUGGAAACAGAGUUUUCCCGCAAGGGACUUGAGUCGAGGUGCUGCAUGGCUGUCGUCAGCUCGUGUCGUGAGAUGUUGGGUUAAGUCCCGCAACGAGCGCAACCCUUGUCCUGUGUUGCCACUCCGUAAGGAAGCACUCGCAGGAGACCGCCAGCGAUAAGUUGGAGGAAGGUGGGGAUGAUGUCAAGUCAUCAUGGCCUUUAUGUCCAGGGCUACACACGCGCUACAAUGGACGGUACAAAGCGCUGCAAACCCGCGAGGGGGAGCCAAUCGCAAAAAACCGUUCUCAGUUCGGAUUGCAGGCUGCAACUCGCCUGCAUGAAGCUGGAAUCGCUAGUAAUGGCGUAUCAGAAUGAUGCCGUGAAUACGUUCCCGGGCCUUGUCACACCGA
rnacentral:rRNA from 1 species